GACCUGAUAGCACAGUUGGUUAGUGCAUCUGCUGAAAAUAAACAAUGGUGGAGGAUUUUAAGCAGAAGACCCCUGUUUAAUUCGGGGUCAGGUCA